rnacentral:rRNA from 1 species
CGGGUGAGUAAUAUAUCGGAACGUGCCCAGUAUGGGGGAUAACUGCUCGAAAGAGCAGCUAAUACCGCAUACGACCUGAGGGUGAAAGGGGGGAUCGCAAGACCUCUCGCUAUUGGAGCGGCCGAUAUCAGAUUAGCUAGUUGGUGGGGUAAAGGCCUACCAAGGCAACGAUCUGUAGUUGGUCUGAGAGGACGACCAGCCACACUGGGACUGAGACACGGCCCAG